UACGGAGGGGGCUAGCGUUGUUCGGAAUUACUGGGCGUAAAGCGUGCGCAGGCGGCUUCUCAAGUCAGGGGUGAAAGCCCAGAGCUCAACUCUGGAACUGCCUUUGAGACUGAGUGGCUUGAGUACGAGAGAGGUGAGUGGAAUUCCCAGUGUAGAGGUGAAAUUCGUAGAUAUUGGGAAGAACACCGGUGGCGAAGGCGGCUACACUGGCUCGUAACUGACGCUCAUGCACGACAGCGUGGGGAUCAAACAGG
rnacentral:rRNA from 1 species